UACGUAGGUGACAAGCGUUGUCCGGAUUUACUGGGCGUAAAGCGUGCGCAGGCGGUUGGCAAAGUCAGCUGUGAAAGCCCCGGGCUCAACCUGGGAAUGGCGGUUGAAACUAGUCGACUCGAAUCUGGCAGAGGGGGGUGGAAUUCCACGUGUAGCAGUGAAAUGCGUAGAGAUGUGGAGGAACACCGAUGGCGAAGGCAGCCCCCUGGGCUGAGAUUGACGCUCAGGCACGAAAGCGUGGGGAGCAAACAGG
rnacentral:rRNA from 1 species